rnacentral:rRNA from 1 species
UACGUAGGGUGCAAGCGUUGUCCGGAAUUAUUGGGCGUAAAGAGCUCGUAGGCGGUUUGUUGCGUCGGCUGUGAAAUCCCGAGGCUCAACCUCGGGUCUGCAGUCGAUACGAGCAAACUAGAGUGUUGCAGGGGAGACUGGAAUUCCUGGUGUAGCGGUGAAAUGCGCAGAUAUCAGGAGGAACACCGGUGGCGAAGGCGGGUCUCUGGGCAACAACUGACGCUGAGGAGCGAAA